rnacentral:rRNA from 1 species
CCAAGGAGUCUAACAUGUGCGCGAGUCAUUGGGAUUUGUUUGAAACCUAAAGGCGCAAUGAAAGUGAAGGUCGUCCACGCGACGACCGAGGGAGGAUGGGCCGCGCAUGCUGCGGCCCCGCACUCCCGGGGCGUCUCGUUCUCAUCGCGAGAGGAGGCGCACCCAGAGCGUACACGUUGGGACCCGAAAGAUGGUGAACUAUGCCUGGUCAGGACGAAGUCAGGGGAAACCCUGAUGGAGGUCCGUAGCGAUUCUGACGUGCAAAUCGAUCGUCGGAACUGGGUAUAGGGGCGAAAGACUAAUCGAACCAUCUAGUAGCUGGUUCCCUCCGAAGUUUCCCUCAGGAUAGCUGGCACUCGCGUGUUCUACGGAACUUGCGCGAGUCUCAUCUGGUAAAGCGAAUGAUUAGAGGCCUUGGGGCCGAAACGACCUCAACCUAUUCUCAAACUUUAAAUGGGUGAGAUCUCUGGCUUGCUUGAACGUUGAAGCCACGAGAUUUCGGAUCAGAGUGCCAAGUGGGCCAAUUUU